UACGUAGGAGGCGAGCGUUGUCCGGAAUCACUGGGCGUAAAGCGUGCGCAGGCGGUUCGUUGUGUCGGCGGUGAAAGCCCCGGGCUUAACCUGGGAAUGGCCGUCGAAACUGGCGAACUGGAGUGUGGCAGAGGGGGGUGGAAUUCCGCGUGUAGCAGUGAAAUGCGUAGAGAUGCGGAGGAACACCGAUGGCGAAGGCAGCCCCCUGGGCUGACACUGACGCUCAGGCACGAAAGCGUGGGGAGCAAACAGG
rnacentral:rRNA from 1 species